GAUGGUGGUGGUGAUGGUAUAGUGAUGAUAGUAGUGAUGAUGUAGUGAUGAUGGUGGUGAUGAUGGUAGUUAUGGUGAUGGUGGUGGUGAUAGUAUAGUGAUGAUAGUAGUGAUGAUGUAGUGAUGAUGGUGGUGAUGAUGGUAGUUAUGGUGAUGGUGGUGGUGAUGGUAUAGUGAUGAUAGUAGUGAUGAUGUAGUGAUGAUGGUGGUGAUGAUGGUAGUUAUGGUGAUGGUGGUGGUGAUGGUAUAGUGAUGAUAGUGGUGAUGAUGUAGUGAUGAUGGUGGUGAUGAUGGUAUCCCGAACAAUUGUUCCUUUUAGAAUAUUACUAGAGCAGGAAAUUUGCUACAUUAAGCGCUAUGAGCACAAAACAAUUGGAUUUGGCAGAAGCACUAGGGUGUGAGCAUGUUAUUUCAAUAGGAAAAAGCAUUUAAAGUUACCUACUGGGUCAUGACAAGAACGAUUUGUUUUGCCAUGGUUUUUGCAUAUAUUUAAACCCCAUAGUCGGAACACAUGGAAAUUAUGUUGGGUGUUCCCAUUUAUAAACGGAACAGCGAUAAAAAAGGAACAAAUUGUUCCUACUUCAAUUUGGUUGUUCCGUUUCUAAUAUGUUCCACAAAGCGGAACUGAUUGAGAAC